AGAGUUUGAUCAUGGCUCAGAUUGAACGCUGGCUGCACGCUUAACACAUGCAAGUCGGACGGCAGCACAGUCUAGCGCAAGUUAGAUGGGUGGCGAGUGGCGGACGGGUGAGUAAUACAUAGGGACCUGCCCUUGAGAGGAGGAUAACCUGGGGAAACUCAGGCUAAUACUGCGUACGCUCGGGAGAGGAAAGCUGGGGACCCCGCAAGGGGCCUGGCGCUCGAGGAGGGGACUAUGUCGGAUUAGCCAGUUGGUGGGGUAAUGGCCUACCAAGGCGACGAUCCGUAGCUGGUCUGAGAGGACGGACAGCCACACUGGGACUGAGACACGGCCCAGACUCCUACGGGAGGCAGCAGUGGGGAAUAUUGGACAAUGGGGGCAACCCUGAUCCAGCGAUGCAGUGUGUGUGAAGAAGGCCUGCGGGUUGUAAAGCACUUUCGGUUGGGAAGAAGGCAUUUGGGUGAAUAGCCCAGAUGUUUGACGUACUGACAUAA
rnacentral:rRNA from 1 species